rnacentral:pre_miRNA from 1 species
UAGAUACUCCCUCCGUCCGGAAUUACUUGUCAUCAAAAUGGAUGUAUCUACAACUAAAAUACAUCUAGAUACAUCCAUUUCAAUGACAAGUAUUUCCGGACGGAGGGAGUACUUU